CUCACCACUCAGGACGGGAGAAGAAACCUCCACAGCACCAUGAAAGAUUUAGGCUAGUUAGAAAGGGAAACUUCUUUAACAGGGAAGGUAAAGCAGUGGAAUUGAGAGCAGGGGAAGACUUUUAGAUGAGGGAAGGGUCUCGUGUAUUCCAGACAGUGUCAGGAAAAGAAGUCGAUUCGAUGUUUCCUUGACUCUGAGACAAUAGACGUCCCUAGAGGUCAGCAACGCACCAGGGAAUUUUCCAGAGCCUAUAAAGGGUGGUUCUCCGGGAAGGGUGGCAUGUGAUCACGUUAGGAGCAUGGGUUCUGGUGCGAGAGACCAUGCUUUGAAUGUCAUGUUUGGGCAAAUGACUUAAACUUUCUGUGCCUGCUUAAGUAUUCAUAAUAUGGGGAUAAUUGCUCAUUCAACCCUACGGCUGUACCAGGCAUUGUCCUGGGAAAAGGGAAUACAGCAAUGAACACAGUAGGCAAAAUAAAAAACAGAAAAAGAAAAACAGCAACAACAAAAAACCCUGACAAUUAUAAUGGGAGUGGUAGACUUACUGUAAUAACAAAGAAUAAAUAAGGAAAAUAUACUGUAUGUCUGAUGGUAAUAAGUGCUAUAGGGAUAAAUUAAGCAGGGAAGGGGGGUGGGGAAGUUCUAAUUUUAAGUAGGGUGUGGGGGGCAGGUCACACGCUGAGACCACGUCUUUUGAGGAAAGACUUGAAGGAACUGAAGAAGUGAGCUAAGAGGUUGUAGUGGGUUGAAUAGCCCUUCUAAAAGGAUAUGUCCACAUCCUGACCCUGGGAACCUAUCAUGCUUUUGUUGUUGAAGCCAAGAACUCAUUGCCUAAUUUAAGGUAGCAAGUCAUCAGGAAUGCUUAGCACGUAUGGACCAUUUCACAGAGAGUGUCUGAAACAAGAUAUUUCUUUCUAGCCUCACCUCUGGAUUGGACCGAGCAUGGAUACACUGGGCCAUUACCAUGAUUUAUCAGGAGCUGAUUACCUAGCCAAUCAUUCCCAUCAUUCCCUUACUGAAAUAAACUGAGAAAAAUCAAACUAACCUUCUAUUCACUGGAAGAUAUUCCAAAUGGUGGUUUGCUUCAUGCUUGCACAGAGACUCUGGCUGGGCAGCCCAGAUGAUCACUUUGUGUGAUGUGAUGCCCACAGCUGCCUAGCUGUCUCCAAGGGCCCAAUCAUUUAUCGCUUCUCUUUGGCUGUGUGUGUGUGCAAGCAGGCAGCUGGGGGUGUGUGUGACCCCAGGGCUUCUACAAUAAAUCAGAAUCCCUAAUGCCAGAU
rnacentral:lncRNA from 10 species